CGAAGGUUUUCUCCUGAGUCAGGCAGAGGAGAGAAAGCAGGGAAAGGAUCUCUUUGCAGAAAUGGACCUGGAUUCAUGUGAGGCAGAGAGACCUUCGUUGGACACCAGAGAGAGGCCACUAGGUGACAGAAUGAUGCCGGCAAGACCUCCUGAUCCACGUUUUCAUGGGGG